AAGUCGUAACAAGGUUUCCGUAGGUGAACCUGCGGAAGGAUCAUUAUCGAUUCAACCCAAAUGAGAGAGGGAGUUGUUCGCAGUUGUGCUGGCCUCCAAUUGGAGGCAUGUGCACGCUCGACUUCUUCUUUUCUUCAUUUACACACACCUGUGAACUUAUUGUAGGGUGUCCCUCAGGAUGCUCUAUGUCUUUUUCAUAUACACCAAUACAUGUUUAUAGAAUGUAGCCUUUUGCUCUCGUCAGAGACAAAAUAAAUCCUUUAUAACUUUCAGCAACGGAUCUCUUGGCUCUC
rnacentral:misc_RNA from 1 species